AGUGAACGCUGGCGGUAGGCUUAACACAUGCAAGUCGAACGGAGGCACCGUAAGUUCUUGCUCUUACGGGUGGCGAGUGGCGGACGGGUGAGGAAUACAUCGGACUCUACUUUUUCGUGGAGGAUAACGUAGGGAAACUUACGCUAAUACCGCAUACGACCUACGGGUGAAAGCAGGGGAUCUUUUGACCUUGCGCGAUUGAAUGAGCCGAUGUCGGAUUAGCUAGUUGGCGGGGUCAAGGCCCGCCACGGCGACGAUCCGUAGCUGGGGGGUGAGGAUGUUCAGCCACACGGGAGGUGAGACACGGGCCAGGGUCCUACGGGAGGCAGCAGUGGGGAAUGGUGGGCAAUGGGCGGAAGCCUGAUCCAGCGAUGCCACGUGGGUGAAGGAGGCCUGCGGGUUGGAAUGCCGGUUUGUGGGGGAAGAAAAGCAGCAGGUUGAGACCACGCUUUUGUGACGGUACCCGAAGAAGAAGCACCGGCUAACUACGUG
rnacentral:rRNA from 1 species